rnacentral:rRNA from 1 species
UUGCCUACGGGGGGCAGCAGUGAGGAAUAUUGGUCAAUGGGCGGAAGCCUGAACCAGCCAAGUCGCGUGAGGGAAUAAGGCCCUACGGGUCGUAAACCUCUUUUGCCGGGGAGCAAGGGCGGGGACGUGUCCCGGCCCGGAGAGUACCCGGAGAAAAAGCAUCGGCUAACUCCGUGCCAGCAGCCGCGGUAAUACGGAGGAUGCGAGCGUUAUCCGGAUUUAUUGGGUUUAAAGGGUGCGUAGGCGGGAUGCCAAGUCAGCGGUAAAAAUGCGGUGCUCAACGCCGUCGAGCCGUUGAAACUGGG